rnacentral:vault_RNA from 1 species
GGGCCGGCUUUAGCUCAAGCGGUUACUUCGGCUGAUUGACUUCAUUUGUCAGCAACCCCGUCUGGGGUUCGAGACCCGCGGGCGCUUUCCGACCCUUUU